rnacentral:rRNA from 1 species
GACGAACGCUGGCGGCGUGCUUAACACAUGCAAGUCGAACGGAAAGGCCCUGCUUUUGUGGGGUGCUCGAGUGGCGGACGGGCGAGUAACACGUGAGUAACCUGCCCUUGACUUUGGGAUAACUUCAGGAAACUGGGGCUAAUACCGGAUAGGAGCUCCUGCUGCAUGGUGGGGGUUGGAAAGUUUCGGCGGUUGGGGAUGGACUCGCGGCCUAUCAGCUUGUUGGUGGGGUAGUGGCUUACCAAGGCUUUGACGGGUAGCCGGCCUGAGAGGGUGACCGGCCACAUUGGGACUGAGAUACGGCCCAGACUCCUACGGGAGGCAGCAGUGGGGAAUAUUGCACAAUGGGCGGAAGCCUGAUGCAGCAACGCCGCGUGCGGGAUGACGGCCUUCGGGUUGUAAACCGCUUUCGCCUGUGACGAAGCGUGAGUGACGGUAAUGGGUAAAGAAGCACCGGCUAACUACGUG